AGAAGCCGAACCCGCGAUAGAAAAGCCUCAGUCCUGGGGAGGUCUUGACGGGCUGAGCUGCUAGAGAGAGUUUCGCGUCGUAAGGAAAGCAAGUACCUGCCCAUGUACGGAAGUGUCGGCGGGAUCCUGGAGGCGAUGCCUUUUUUAAGGAUGCACGGGGGACCAAGGGAAGGGGAAGUUUUCCCAGAAAGCUCUCUAACUCAGAAUGCCCACCAUCCAUACUCUGGAGGACAAAGACGGCCGUUCGCCAGUGUCUGUAAGCAUUUGACACGUGGGGACACGCAACGCUGCACUUCAGGGCAGCUGCUCAUGGGAUUUAGUUUUACUGUCCUUGUGGAUACCCAUGGAAUGCUAGCUCGUCACCUAGAUUCUAUUAGAACAUCAACAAUGUCAGCCAUCGCAUCUGCCUUUUAGAAACUCGUUGUGCAGGAUUUUAAAAUUGUAUUAUAUUCCAUACAUACUGGGAAGAAUGAAGAAUGAUAUAUAAACACUGUGUAUCCACUCCCAGCUUUAUCACAUCUUAACAUUCUGCCAUAUUUACUUCAGAACUUUUCAUGGAAACAAGUCUUUGGGUUAGUUGACUUUUUCCUCUUAUUUAUUUUGAGAUGAGUUGUGGUGGAAUAGAGACUAGAAUCAAAUUAUAUUAAUUUCUGAAUUAUAUAAAUCAGUUUUUAAGUUUUAGCUUAACUUUGUUCAGCAAAAACUUCAUUUUUGUUUAGCAAGAUCUCCUAUAUGUUUUUGUCACUUCUAUUUAUAACACAUUCAAUAAAGGAGUGAUAAUUUUCCACAAAUUCAUUGAAGGGUAGGAGUGGGGGCAAAUGUAGGACUAAUAGCACCAUCCCAUGGCAUAAGAUUUAAAUUUCUUAUCUUAUUGAUACUUUAUGUCACCUCCCCUUUCACUGAUGAUUUCAGUUUUGAAGCACAAAUUUAUUUCAGUCCAUCUAAAAUUAUCCAAGGGGACUGCUAAAGUUAUGUCAAUUAGUAACAUUUUCUGGAAUAACUGACAGAAUUAUAUAAAAGUCACCGAAGUACUAGAAGGCUUUUUCAGAUUGUGUGUGUGUCCCGUUUUUUGUUGUUGUUAAAGUAAACUAUCUAUUGAACAAUCAGAAAAUCCUUGUCAUCCUUCUCUUUAAUCAGUGUUCCUUCUCUUUAGUCUAUCUUCUUGUUUAAAGGAUACAGGGCUCUCUUUGCUUCAGCCCUAUGCAUCUGGUUUGCUUUUCACUAUUACAUGGCCUCCCUUCAGCCACAGAACCCAUUUUAUAACCUGACCAUUUAAAUUAUGUAUUUUUUAAAAUUUAUCUUUGUGAGAUCAGUUUCCCAGUGUUUGCAUAUUUAGCCACAGCUGCAACCUGAUCAGGUAACAGAACAUGGUUCUGAAGGGUUUUCAAUCUCUGAUUGAUCCUUUUAGGAAUUCUCCAGAGACUAUUAUUGGAAAUCUUUAGAGAUUGAGUCACCGUCUCCUUUCCAACUCUUCUUAGACUUUUUUCCUCUUAUUCCUUCAAUCCAUGUCACUGUCAUUUGGGCUUUUUGUUAAUUUCUUCUUUUCUUGAACCUUCCUUUUGACUGGUGCUUUCAUUUAGACUGCUGCUACUUUUGCAUCUCCUUCUCUUUCUAUUCCACUUUCUCUUCCUCUUUCCCCUUAUGAAGUGGAAGCUGAAGUGGUGGUCUUCAUUCUCUACCGGUAUAUGUUCAUCAGAAUAUGCGUCAGGAGUCUUUGAGGAGAGUCUCCAGAUGUUGGGAGCUCACUUCUGCAAUCCUUUCUCUCAGUAGAGGCUUUCUCCUUGCCUGUGAGGUUAAGCCACAGCUUGUCACCCAGGUGGGGACUUGAAUAGCCUUUGUAGGAUGUGGCAAGAGAGAAGAAAGUGCCCCAGAGCCCAGAAGGCCACUUUCACUUCUGGAGCGAGGGCAGUGGAAGUUGUCUUCUAUGACAGUAUGUUUGAAAAUAUUGAUGACAUGAAAAAGUUAAUAAAAACUACAUGACUUACUAAAAUUGACUUAAGAAGGAAUAGAAGAUCUGGAUAGUUCUACAAUCAACAAACAAAUGGAAUCCAUAGUAUAAAAUCUUCCCAUACCAAGCAAACAAACAAAAAACACUGGCCCAGAAACUUAUAGAUGAGUAAUUUGCAGGAAUCACUUACUGCUAGUGCUUGAUAUUUCCUUCUACAUGGAAGGAAAUGUAUUGGUGUGGCAUAACUGGCCUCUUUCUGGCCUUCUCACUUAUCCCCAGAGGAAAAGGAACAGUUUAUCCAAGUAAUGAGUUUGGGAGAAAGCUUUGAAUGUAUGAGGCCUAGCCUCUUUGCAAUGAGAAAGUACAUGAGUGAUCUUAGCAGUUAAGCCCCUGGCCUUACAGAUUAGACCUGUCUGGGUGGGUGAUCUUUCUAGAUCUGGGACAGUA